rnacentral:rRNA from 1 species
AUGUAUCUGUAUUUUUUGCAGGUAUAUUGGUUGCCUUAUGUGGAAGAUCGUGACUUUGAUCUUAAUGAGAUGUGCACGCGUGAUAGCCAUCUUUGGCGGGCGAGGUGCCCAAUGAUAUGCUUCUUCGCAGUCAAGUGGCACUUUGUAGACCGUGUGGCAAGACAAUUUGGAAGAAGACAAGGUAUUCCAAUUGAGAAGAGCAAGGAGGAAAUGCUAUCUCUGCAUCGGUUCGAUCGAAGGAACAAUCAGGAUAUAUCGGAUUGGGCAAACAAACACCGUGCGUGGAUAGAAAUUUGGAAUUAA